rnacentral:rRNA from 1 species
GAUGAACGCUGGCGGCGCGCCUAACACAUGCAAGUCGAACGAUUAAAGCACCUUCGGGUGUGUAUAAAGUGGCGAACGGCUGAGUAACACGUGGGCAACCUGCCCCUCUCAUUGGGAUAGCCACGGGAAACCGUGGAUAAUACCGAAUACUUCGGGACUUCCGCAUGGAAGACUCGAGAAAGCUCCGGCGGAGAGGGAUGGGCCCGCGGCCUGUUAGCUUGUUGGUGGGGUAAUGGCCUACCAAGGCAAUGAUGGGUAGCUGGGUUGAGAGACCGACCAGCCAGAUUGGGACUGAGACACGGCCCAGACUCCUACGGGAGGCAGCAGUGGGGAAUCUUGCACAAUGGGCGAAAGCCUGAUGCAGCGACGCCGCGUGCGGGAUGAAGGCCUUCGGGCUGUAAACCGCUUUCAGCAGGGACGAGGCGAAAGUGACGGUACCUGCAGAAGAAGCCCCGGCUAACUACGUG